GAGUUUGAUCGUGGCUCAGGAUGAACGCUGGCGGCGUGCCUAAUACAUGCAAGUCGAACGAACAGAUAAGGAGCUUGCUCCUUUGACGUUAGCGGCGGACGGGUGAGUAACACGUGGGUAACCUACCUAUAAGACUGGGAAUAACUCCGGGAAACCGGGGCUAAUGCCGGAUAACAUGUUGAACCGCAUGGUUCUACAGUGAAAGACGGUCUUGCUGUCACUUAUAGAUGGACCCGCGCCGUAUUAGCUAGUUGGUGGGUAACGCUACCAAGGCGACGAUACGUAGCCGACCUGAGAGGGUGAUCGGCCACACUGGAACUGAGACACGGUCCAGACUCCUACGGGAGGCAGCAGUAGGGAAUCUUCCGCAAUGGGCGAAAGCCUGACGGAGCAACGCCGCGUGAGUGAUGAAGGUCUUCGGAUCGUAAAGCUCUGUUGUUAGGGAAGAACAAAUGUGUAAGUAACUGUGCAUAUCUUGACGGUACCUAACCAGAAAGCCACGGCUAACUACGUGCCAGCCG
rnacentral:rRNA from 1 species